AGAAAUAUAAUUUAGAUUAUUGAUCAAGUUGAUUGUGGCUUAAAUGUAGUUCAACCUGUGCACUAAACUCACUUUCAAUUAGAGAUUUAGUUUCCAAAACCCAUAAAGAAAAUGUAAUGUUUUGGUGUAAUUUACACCGUAUAAAAUCAAACAUGGUACUGUAGAUGGAGAUGGGAGGGAAAAGUAAAAAUUGGAAGAUGAUGGUGAUGUUACCCAAACUUUCCAAAAGGAGUUUACCUCUAGUCCCGGGCUAGGCUAUAUGGGCCUAAAUAAUACAUACAUCACAACAGUAAGCCCAGUAAAUUGAAUGCUGGAGGAGCAGUACUAAUUUCCACAGCCUAUUCAUGGCCAACUACUUGCCAUUCAUCUCACCUGUCACAUGCUGUCCAGCCCAUUACUGUUAAGUGAAGGUGACAACAACCCUAAUGCCUUUCCUACUUGCUUCAACUGCUCUUGGGACCAAAUAAUUUACUCAUAAUAAUUAUUUUGACACAGAGACCAUAAGUAUAUUAAUGUCUGCCAGUAUUCAUUUGACACAUUCUGUGUAUUUCUCUUUAUGCUGCUGGUAGGUGGAUCUUGUAGAGCAUUUAGACCAAAAUCCCGAG
rnacentral:lncRNA from 1 species